rnacentral:lncRNA from 1 species
AUCAACCACAAUAGGCCAAAUCACAAUUUCAACAUAAAAAUUAGUCAUUUUUCAAUACUGGAACAGUGUUAACCGGUUAACACCAUGCGUUAACCGGUUAACGCAGGACAACAAUACCUCCCCAGGCAAAACGCAACAGUGUUAACCGGUUAACGCUAUAGGUUAACCGGUUAACGCAGGCAAAACUCAACAUAUUCACAAAUUGUAACAGUGUUAACCGGUUAACACCAUGGGUUAACCGGUUAACGC